AUUGAACGCUGGCGGCAUGCCUUACACAUGCAAGUCGAACGGUAACGGGCCUUCGGGUGCCGACGAGUGGCGAACGGGUGAGUAAUGCAUCGGAACGUACCUUUCAGUGGGGGAUAACGUAGCGAAAGUUACGCUAAUACCGCAUAUUCUGUGCGCAGGAAAGCAGGGGAUCGCAAGACCUUGCGCUGAUUGAGCGGCCGAUGUCAGAUUAGCUAGUUGGUGAGGUAAAGGCUCACCAAGGCGACGAUCUGUAGCGGGUCUGAGAGGAUGAUCGGCCACACUGGAACGGAGACACGGUCCAGACUCCUACGGGAGGCAGCAGUGGGGAAUUUUGGACAAUGGGGGCAACCCUGAUCCAGCCAUGCCGCGUGAGUGAAGAAGGCCUUCGGGUUGUAAAGCUCUUUCGGCCGGGAAGAAAUCGCAUGGGUUAAUACCCUGUGCGGAUGACGGUACCGGCAUAAGAAGCACCGGCUAACUACGUGCCAGCAGCCGCAGUAAAAC
rnacentral:rRNA from 1 species